AAAAUUACACACUUCGUACUUUCUCUUCUUUUUUCACUUUUAUGCUUUUUACUAUUUUUCUCUCAUCCGGAUGUCUCUUCCUCUCUUCUCUUAUCCCCUAUUUAUAGGAGUGGGGAGCCAUGAGAGAAAGGUUUUCACCAUUAUAUCAUACAAUUUCAUCUAAAAGUUGUCAACUUUUCGUCAUGUCACUUAAUCUAAAAGGUUAUCACUUUUCAAAUGCUGAUUUAUCUCAAAGAUCUUUUCAUAUGUCAUUUCAUCUAAAAUUUUCAUAUUUUUUCAUGUCAGUUCAUGUUUAUUCUAUCUCAAUCAUCUUUAUCUAUCAUUUUUUCGUUUAACUU
rnacentral:lncRNA from 1 species